AUGAAAUUUGAAUUUGUACAUUGUUCUUUUUAAAUAAGCUGUAGUCAUGUCCUAGGGUUUGAAAAAAAAUAAUUCCACAGUACUUUGAAUACCAUGCAGGUUAUAUUCUUCUCUGAAAUGUAAUCCCAUUCAAGUAGCCAUUAAUUUUAUUUAAUGUAUAUAUAUGUUGUGUACAAGAUGUAAGUUUGUACAAAUUAUAAUUUGUACAGGGUUUUUGUACAAGUUAUAAGUUUUUUUACACCUACCUUCUUG
rnacentral:lncRNA from 1 species